GACGAACGCUGGCGGCGUGCCUAAUACAUGCAAGUUGAGCGAUGAAGAUUGGUGCUUGCACCAAUUUGAAGAGCAGCGAACGGGUGAGUAACGCGUGGGGAAUCUGCCUUUGAGCGGGGGACAACAUUUGGAAACGAAUGCUAAUACCGCAUAACAACUUUAAACAUAAGUUUUAAGUUUGAAAGAUGCAAUUGCAUCACUCAAAGAUGAUCCCGCGUUGUAUUAGCUAGUUGGUGAGGUAAAGGCUCACCAAGGCGAUGAUACAUAGCCGACCUGAGAGGGUGGUCGGCCACAUUGGGACUGGGACACGGCCCAAACUCCUACGGGAGGCAGCAGUAGGGAAUCUUCGGCAAUGGACGAAAGUCUGGCCGAGCAACGCCGCGGGAGUGAAGAAGGUUUUCGGAUCGUAAAACUCUGUUGGUAGGGAAGAACGUUGGUGAGAGUGGAAAGCUCAUCAAGUGACGGUAACUACCCAGAAAGGGACGGCUAACUACGUG
rnacentral:rRNA from 1 species